rnacentral:rRNA from 1 species
AUUGAACGCUGGCGGCAGGCCUAACACAUGCAAGUCGAACGAUUGGCGGACUGGUGAGUAAUGUCUGGGAAACUGCCUGAUGGAGGGGGAUCACUACUGGAAACGGUCGCUAAUACCGCAUCCCAUCGGAUUUUCCCCGAUGUGAUUAGCUAGUGGGUGGGGUAAAGGCUCACCUAGGCGACGAUCCCUAGCUGGUCUGAGAGGAUGACCAGCCAAACUGGAACUGAGACACGGUCCAGACUCCUACGGGAGGCAGCAGUGGGGAAUAUUGCACAAUGGGCGAAAGCCUGAUGCAGCCAUGCCGCGUGGAUGAAGAAGGCCUUCGGGUUGUAAAGUACUUUCAGCGGGGAGGCGGGAAACGAAGAAGAAGCACCGGCUAACUCCGUGCCAGCAGCCGCGGUAAUAG